UUUCUUUUGUUUUUCAAAUUACAAUAAAAAUGUUGGAUUGGUAUGAAGAAGUUGAAGAAUUUUUAGAGUUUAUUUCUUAUAUUGUAGAAGAAAAUCGCCCGGAAAGUAUACGAAAGCCAUGUGAUAAAAUUAUAUCAAAUCCAAUGGAAUUUUACAAUAUUGAAUUUCAUCAGCUGCAAUAACUUAAACAACAAAGAUUUUAUGCUACUUUAUAGGAAUAUAACCAGUUUUUAUGAAGUUGCCCAUUUCAAAUUACAGGUACAGACUUACGUUUGUUAUUCAGGCCCUUAUUACAUAAAUGAAUUGUAGCUCUUUCAUGUUCUAGAAGCGAGAUUAUGAAUGUUGUUGGUUGUUGGUGAACAACAAGGGCAACAGGGUCAAGUUAUGUUAGCUUAAUAUUUGAUCUAAGUGCAUUAAGAGGUAUCAUGAGAAAGAGUGAAAUUCCAGGAUUAUUAAUUGGCAAUAGUAGAUACGCAUGCAAAUACUAUCUAUUUACUUCAGUAUUACAGCCAGGUAAUGAUCAAGAAAAUAGAUACAAUAGUGCACAUGUAAGAACAAGAAAUGUUGCCAAAAAGCUAUUUGGAACCUGGAAAAAACAGUUUCCAUGUCUUCAAAAGGUCUACAAACCGAAUUAAAUACAUACCUUGCAAUAUGUGCUACAACAGUACCUUAUAAGUUAUAAUCUGGGUGCAAGAGAAAAUCAUGAUGGUGAUGAUGAUUUUGUAGAAAAUCUUGAUUUGUCAGUAAAUGGAAAUGUUAAUGAUGUGGAACAAUGUUUAAAUUUUAGGAGGCAUUUUUAUCGACAAUAUUUUGCAUGAGAAUGAGAAUACAUUAUUGAAUACUUGUAAUAUAUUAAAUGUUUUUUUUUUAAUAUUUAAUGGGUCGUCUUUCUUUGGGAUUUUUUGCCUAUUAUUUCUCAAAUAUCAUGAUCAUUGGCUUGACAACUCUUUUUGUUUGAGUUUUGGUCCCUUCAGGAAUACUUACUUCUCCAUUCUAAUCUAUUUGAAGAUUUUGAUUUUUUGUUCUUCCAAUUUUUUAUUUUUAAAAUUUCAAUGUCUUAUCCUAUUUGUUCCUUGCCUAUAUGUAAUCUUUGGUCUUCCUCCUGUUAAUGUCCAGCUGAUAUUUCUUUGUUUAUUUUGGAAAAUAUUUCAUGUUCUUCCAUCUUUCCUCUUAUUAUGUGCUCCUAUUUUGAUGAAUGUUAGUAUAUAGAUUCUGGUAUGUCCUGUAUAGUUCAAAAUUAUAUCUUCUUCUCAAUUUCCCUUUUUUUUUCUUCUUUGUAUAUGUGUCAAGAUUCUUCUGCCUAAGUAACCAAUUGGUCGUCUUCACUUUAAGUAAGUAACCAGAUUUCAGAUUCAUAUGUAAAUACUGGAUGUAUUAAGGUUUUGUGCAAUUGACAUUUAGUUUUUCUUGUAAUAUCUUAUCUUGGUUGUUUGAUCGAGCCCUGGUAACUUUAAUUGGCUAUGAACUGUUUGUAUUGCUAUGUUAGAUGCUAUUUAGCCUGAUUUCAGUGCUUUGUUAUUGUUUAUUUUAUCUACUUGUCUACUGCUAGUCUAUUAUUGUACUUUCACUAUAUAUGUUUUGAAUUUAUAUAGUAAUGUCUUUCUCUUCUAUCUAUAUUCAACUAGAAUUUGUUUAUUUAUUGUGAGAAUACAUUAUUGAAUCCUUGUAUAAUGUGAGAUAUAUGUAGUUUCUUUUUUAGUUUACUUCUCAACAUGUAUUUUUUAUAUUUGAUGUUAAAAUAAAUGAGUACGAGUUUUUCUCCUUUUAAA
rnacentral:lncRNA from 1 species